UUACACAUACACUUAACCAUCCAUCUCAGCAAUUCAGCUCUCAGAUACCAACCCAAGAAAAAAUCAUACGCCUGCAAAGUCUUACACUUGGAUGCUCAUAUCUGCAUUAUUCACAAUUGGCAAAAACUGGGAACGACCCAAAUCACCAUCCACAGGUCAACGGAUAUACCGCAGCCCUUCCAUAUAAUGGAAUGCCAACCAUCAAAAAAAGGAACUCGCCAUCAAUCUAUGCGACAAUGUGAACGGAUCCCAAAAACACAAUGCUGAGCAAAAGAAGCUAGACAUAAAGGAGUUCACACUGGAUGAUGCCACUAACUGAAACUCUAGAAAUGACCAAGCGCAUCCACAGUGACAGCAAAUCAGCGGUCGCCCGGGCCCUGACUGUAUAGAUGGAGGGUGUUCUCCUUAUGGGUGCCUAUGUUCCUUUCUCUCUUCUUAUAAGGACACCAGUCGUUGGAUUAAGACCCACCCCAACCCAGUAUGACCUCGCCUUAACUCGAUUACAUCUGCAAAGACCCUACUUCCAAAGAAGAUCACAUUCACAGGUGCCCAGAGGUAACUCCCGGCCUCUGCCUCCUUCCUGCGUGUCUAACCAGCCACCUGCUUGCCACGAGCUCAUCGCCCACCACAGCGACCCAGCACGUGGGCACAUGGCUGCAGAGACAAGCAGAAUUUCCAGACCCAAGAAAUGAAAAGACUUUCCAGGACACGCAAUGCACAACGGCCCGUUAAAAAAAUA